UACGUAGGGAGCGAGCGUUGUCCGGAAUUACUGGGUGUAAAGGGAGCGUAGGCGGGGAUGCAAGUUGGGUGUCAAAACUACCGGCUCAACUGGUAGUCGCACUCAAAACUGCAGCUCUUGAGUGAAGUAGAGGCAGGCGGAAUUCCUAGUGUAGCGGUGAAAUGCUUAGAGAUCAUACAGAACACCGAUUGCGAAGGCAGCUUACCAAACUAUAUCUGACGUUGAGGCACGAAAGCGUGGGGAGCAAACAGG
rnacentral:rRNA from 1 species